rnacentral:lncRNA from 1 species
CAACCCUCCCGCGCAGGCCAUAAGAGGCAAAUGAACCUUUGUUGGUUGGCGGGAAAUCGAGACCCUGGCAAGGGGGCUUCUCCCUUGGAGAAGCCUGAGAACUGCCAGGUCCGCGGCCGUUAACCCGCCUCUAGGGACGGCCGCACUGCGCAUGUCUGAAAGGGAACUAGAAAGGGAGGAGCGAGAGAGGGUGGGGCUGAGGAGGAGGCUGUGUGAGAAAAGGGGCGGGGCGCGCCCAAAGUCUGGCGGAAGAGCGUUACCCUGGCAACCCUCCCGCGGAGGCCGAGAGAGGCCACCGGCCCUUUGUUGAUCUGCGAGAAAUCAAACUACGAACACGACAAGCAUUAGCCUGCAGCUCGAGGAGACAAGUCCUGAACUGACAGCCACAAGUGGCACCUGAACAGGGACUUGAACAAAGAAGGUCUGCUGGAGCAGAAAAAGUGAAACUGACCAGAUGAAUGAGAAACCCUGGGAUGAGUCUGCCUGCAGAGGAUAUAAGGAGAUGGAUAAACCGUGUGAGUGCCCUCAAGUUGUGUGCGACCAUGGAAUGGGAGACUGGAGGGAUACAUGGAUCCCAACUACAGGCCCAGCUCCUCCAGUAUGAGCCAUGAGCCAGUUGAAUCUGAAUGUGAAGAUGGAAUGAAGACCGACGAGAGUCACACUGACGUCAACCCUCAUAACAUGGGGUCAGAUCAAGAAAACCACACCAGAAGCUGAGAAACUGGUGUAGUGCCAGGGUCAGGCAAAAACCCCUGACUCCAUGUUUAUGGCCAUGCUAGCUGUAAUAUCCUGUGCAGUAUGAUUUUUCUGUGCAGAAGCAAAAACAUAUUGGGCAUAUUUUCCUAACCCACCGGUAGUGUGAUCAUACUCUGAAGCAGCACUCCUCCUGAGAUAUAUCAUGAUCAAGGAGCAUCAGUACCAGGACCUCUAACUCCCCCUGACACAGAGCAAUUAGACUCUCAUAACAAUGGUAUCAAUUAUACCACUCCAUUGGAGGGACUUCCUUUAUGUGUCACCCAGGAUACAUUGCUCAACUGCAGUUGCCUUGCAGUUUGAUCCCAAGCAUGGUUGAGUUACCAUUAAAAAAUUAUGUACCUAUUAGACCUUAGCUUUAUUAAUAUUACUUGUGUAGUUACUAAUCACUCCUGGCCCCAUCACCCAAAUUGUACUGAUUAUACAGAAUGGGCUCCCUUUGAUAAUUCUCACCCCCCUCCUUGGGCCCACUGUCUUGGCCCCUUAGCUAGACAAUAGUCCAUGUUAAUGGGAGACAUUAUUGACUGGGGUCCCUGUGGUCAUUAAGAUGGGAGAGAUGAGAAUCAGACCACAUGGCAUAAACUUCACUGGCACUGGUGGCGAAACUUUAACAUCUCUUCACUUCAACACACUGGGAUUCAAUCCCAAUCUGCCAUGCAACUUGCUUGGCAUGGAACGGGCUUUAGCCCACCUUUGCCUCAAUGGCAUUAUCAAGGAAAGAGAGGUCCAAUUCAGGAGUCUAUGUGGAAGGCAGCACUCCCAUAUAUGAAUGGCAGCAUUUGGGUUGGGACACUAUCCAAUAAUAGUAAUAGUGCUCAAUACAGUUUAAUGUUACCUUUGUAAAAAAUGUUUGAAAUUUGUGUUUUUAAUCCCUAUGUUUUUCUAGCAGCAAAAAAGGACCAACUCCAGGUAAACAAUGCCCAAUUGAAUUGUGAUUCCUGUCAACUCUAUCAUUGCCUUAAUCAUAGCACAAUACAAACACACAGCAUAUCCACCCUAAUAAUUCUAGGUCGCAUUCCUGGAUUAUGGAUUCCUGUAAAUCUAUCUGAGCCUUGGGCAGCCACCCCCACUUUACAUUUUGUAAAACUUCUUACUCAGCUUACUCAUGGCACUCGUAGAGCCUUAGGCAUGAUAAUUUUUACUAUAGUCUCCUUAAUUACAUUAAUACCCUCUGUUGUGGUGUCCUCAGUAGCACUGGACAGCUCCACUCAAACAGCUCAAUAUGCAGAAAAUUGGAUGCAUACAGCUGACCAGGCAUGGAUGUUUCAAAAUAAAACUAACACUGAGAUACAAACAGAAGUGGCAAUGUUAAAGACUACUGUUCUGUGGCUAG